AGUGAACGCUGGCGGUAGGCCUAACACAUGCAAGUCGAACGGCAGCACAGGAGAGCUUGCUCUCUGGGUGGCGAGUGGCGGACGGGUGAGGAAUACAUCGGAAUCUACUUUUUCGUGGGGGAUAACGUAGGGAAACUUACGCUAAUACCGCAUACGACCUACGGGUGAAAGCAGGGGAUCUUAGGACCUUGCGCGAUUGAAUGAGCCGAUGUCGGAUUAGCUAGUUGGCGGGUUAAAGGCCCACCAAGGCGACGAUCCUUAGCUGGUCUGAGAGGAUGAUCAGCCACACUGAGACUGUGACAAGAUCCAGAAUCCUACGGGAGGCAGCAGUGGGGAAUCUUGGAAAAUGGGCGCAAGCCUGUUCCAGCAAUAACGCGUGAGUGAAGAAGGCCUUCGGGUUGUAAAGCCCUUUUGUUGGGAAAGAAACCCAGCUGACUAAUACCCGGUUGGGAUGACGGUACCCAAAGAAUAAGCACCGCCUAACUUCGUGCCAGCAGCCGCCGCCG
rnacentral:rRNA from 1 species